rnacentral:rRNA from 1 species
GACGAGCGCUGGCGGCGUGCCUAAUACAUGCAAGUAGAACGCACAGUUUAUACCGUAGCUUGCUACACCAUAGACUGUGAGUUGCGAACGGGUGAGUAACGCGUAGGUAACCUGCCUGGUAGCGGGGGAUAACUAUUGGAAACGAUAGCUAAUACCGCAUAAUAUUAAUUAUUGCAUGAUAAUUGAUUGAAAGAUGCAACUGCAUCACUACCAGAUGGACCUGCGUUGUAUUAGCUAGUAGGUGAGGUAACGGCUCACCUAGGCGACGAUACAUAGCCGACCUGAGAGGGUGAUCGGCCACACUGGGACUGAGACACGGCCCAGACUCCUACGGGAGGCAGCAGUAGGGAAUCUUCGGCAAUGGACGAAAGUCUGACCGAGCAACGCCGCGUGAGUGAAGAAGGUUUUCGGAUCGUAAAGCUCUGUUGUAAGAGAAGAACGGGUGUGAGAGUGGAAAGUUCACACUGUGACGGUAUCUUACCAGAAAGGGACGGCUAACUACGUG